GAAACCAACUGGGAUUGCCUUAGUAACGGCGAGUGAAGCGGCAAAAGCUCAAAUUUGAAAUCUGGUACCUUUGGUGCCCGAGUUGUAAUUUGGAGAGUACCACUUUGGGACUGUACUUUGCCUAUGUUCCUUGGAACAGGACGUCAUGGAGGGUGAGAAUCCCGUGUGGCGAGGGUGUCAGUUCUUUGUAAAGGGUGCUCGAAGAGUCGAGUUGUUUGGGAAUGCAGCUCUAAGUGGGUGGUAAAUUCCAUCUAAAGCUAAAUACAGGCGAGAGACCGAUAGCGAACAAGUACAGUGAUGGAAAGAUGAAAAGAACUUUGAAAAGAGAGUGAAAAAGUACGUGAAAUUGUUGAAAGGGAAGGGCAUUUGAUCAGACAUGGUGUUUUGCGCCCCUUGCCUCUCGUGGGCUUGGGACUCUCGCAGCUCACUGGGCCAGCAUCGGUUUUGGCGGCCGGAAAAAACCUAGGGAAUGUGGCUCUGCGCCUCGGUGUAGAGUGUUAUAGCC
rnacentral:rRNA from 1 species